GGUGCGGUCUCUAAACAUUCUGUAAUCGGUCAUUGCUUUUUUUAUUUAAGGAAUCGCUACCAUCGCUGCCGCCGUGUUUUCCCCAACAUUUUGUUUUCAUAACGUUUUGUCCCCAACGUUGUUAUAAUAGCGCGAGCUCGUUCUCACGCCGCACCGCCCACCGCAGAUAAACAAUCCCUCCCCGUGAACAAGUUGGAUGCACACGGAGACGAAUAAGAAUUAAGCUCAUUGUUUUUUACAGGCGAAACCAUUCGAUGUGACGACGCCGACGUGCAUCUUUUGCAAGAUUUACCAUUUCGGAGACGAGUUGCGCCGCACGUUAUUUCUCCAGAACAGUUCCCAGUACCGGUGCAAAUAACUCGCGCGCAUUCGAACAAUAAGCAGCCAUCGUAAAAAUGUAUGGCAAAUCACCCGCAGUGUGCACCUCUCACAAACUACGUGUAAUAACAACAACUGGCAGUCUAUAAAUAAAUAUUCCAGUGGUAUCAUAAGUUGUUUACAUUCUUUCGAGUAGUACUUGAGUUUCACUAAAAUACAAACACGACGAUAUUUUUACGUACCGAUAAAAACUACAUCAUUGAUUGUGUUAUAAAAGUGCUUCGUUAACCAUUGAGUAACUUCCGAAUGUACUGUUCAUGAAAUGUUAUCUCAAACAAAAAAUUACUCAAUCGUUAAUACCUACAUGUUGUGCGUGAGUGGUUUUUAAGUAGUUUUGGAUCGGCUUAAUAUAUAUUUUCACAUAAAAACGUUAUCAAAGAAAAUUUCCAUCCAGUCGGACAAAUCGUAACUACACUUAAAAAUAGUCGAUACAUUUUAAUAAUAGUUUUCAAGAUUAUGUACAAUCGUACUUAAUAGCAAUAAUGUAUCAGUGAUAAAAGUAACAAAUAUUUCGAAGAAAGUGGCUGAACAUUUUUUUAUUUUGUCAUUUUUCUCAGUUUUCUCAGUUCGUCAUGCGAUGUAAUUGAGUGUCCUAUCGCGAUUUACUAAUUUUACUAUGUGAACUAAUAUUAAAAUUAAUAAGCCAUGGUGGCAUAUCUUGUAUAAUAAAGUCAAGUAAUUAACUAUUUUUAACAAAAAUGAAAGGUUAAAAUAUUGUGUUAAACCACGUUUAUUUUUGGCAUAAUAAAAUUUUCCAAAAUAUUACAAUUAUGUUUAUCUAUAGAAACUUCAUGUCCUGGAAAUAAUCACGUGUUAAUGCUACGACUACAUUUGAACUGAGGUUUGAGGCUCACCAAAAUAUAAUGAAGAAUAUCUACAUUACCAGACAGAUAAAUUCUGUAUUUUACCUACAAAUUUGAUAGCGAGGUCUGUUAAUUAUUAUGGAUAUUGUUAUUAAAUCAAAAACAAAUGAAAAUAUAUGAAGGUUACCUACUGAUAUGAUCAAUUAGUAAAUGACAAACAAUCUCAUAAUCAGUCAAUGGUAGAUUUAGCUUCUUUAAAUUGUAUAGGUAAUUAACAUUAUUGUUAACAUUUUAUUUUUAAAGAUUUUAAUAUUUAAUUUGUUAUAGUUGUUGACAUUUUUUCUGUAUUAAGUAAUAAUAACUAUAUUCCAACUUUAAGUAGUCAAUAAAUAAUAAUUUUUUGUAAAUAACUUUAUCAUUUUUUAUUAGUUUAAAUUUAUUUACUAUUAAUCAUAAUUUUGGUUUUCUUAAUGUUAUUCAUACAAUUUGUAAAAUUUUUAUGUGCAUAGAUUAUCUUUAUAAAGAGGUAAACAAAUAAAAGAUAGUGCAUUAUUUAUAUCUUCUAAGAUGGAUGAAUAUUACAUAUUACUAAUAUCUUCAAUUAUUAUUAUUAGAAUAUAAUCAAUA